CGAAAGGCAGCAACUCGCACCUCUCUUUAUUCAGAGGGGCUGUUUUCAUGAAUUUUUAUGAUAUAGACAAUUUUGACUUUGUGGCUGUAACUAGUAACAACCAUUUUUUUGGUCUCUGCUAGCUAACUAAUAAAUAAUCAAUUUAGCUACUAAAUUCGCUACUAUCUUUGUAUAUUAGCUACCUCAUCAAAAUGUCUGCAAAGAACCAGAAAGAGAACGAAAACUUUACUGAGGGAGAGUAUACGCUGAAGGAGGAAAUAAACUACAAGAGCGUCUAUGUCCAACAGCCCAACAGUAACCUAUUCUUCUUGGCAGACAGAGUGCAGACUCUUGGUUCAUGCAAAAAGGAACUGGUCAACAUGAAGAAGGUCCAGGAUGUGUCGAACUCUACACAAUCUGGGAGGGGAAUACAAAUGAAGCCUUCCUAGUGAAACGGAUGUGAAACGCUAUCUUUUUUAGCGGUGGUGCGCGCUAAAUAGCAUUUCAAUCGGUGACGUCACUUGCUCUGAGACCUUGAAGUAGUGGUUCCCUUUGCUCUGCAAGGGCCACGGCUUUUGUGGAGAGAUGGGUAACAAUGCUUCGAGGGUGACUGUUGUUGAUGUGUGCAGAGGGUCCCUGGUUCGCGCCCAGGUAUGGGCGAGGGGACGGUCUAAAGUUAUACUGUUACAUUGGUGCCGUGACCCGGAUCACUGGUUGCUGCGGAAAAGGAGGAGGUCAAAAGGGGGGUGAGUGUAAUGGAUGUGAAGUAGCUAGCUAGUUAGCGGUUGUGCGCGCUAAAUAGCAUUUCAAUCGGUGACGUCACUUGCUCUGAGACCUUGAAGUAGUGGUUCCCCGAUGGGUAACGAUGCUUCGUGGGUGACUGUUGUUGAUGUGUGCAGA
ensembl:lncRNA